rnacentral:lncRNA from 1 species
UUUUUAUUUGUUUUAUUUUCUAAAUUGAUUUUUAAUAAGCAUUUUCUUACAAAAUUUACUAUAAUUUUAUUUUUAAUCCAAAAAUUAUGGGACCAACACCAAAAUUUCACCAAAAAAAUCCUAUUCCCGUUCUUGAUUUUAAAUUAAUUUUUGGAUUGAGGUUGAUAUUUUUAGUGAAUUUUGUGGUUUUUGCUUGUUGUUUUCAACUUAGACUUGAUAUAAUGAGUAGAAACCUUGGUCUUAUGCCAUUGAUUUUUCAAAUUAUUUUCUUAAUCA